CGAACGGGUGAGUAACACGUGAGUAACCUGCCCACAACUUUGGGAUAACGCUAGGAAACUGGUGCUAAUACUGGAUAUGUGCUCCUGCUGCAUGGUGGGGGUUGGAAAGCUCCGGCGGUUGUGGAUUGACUCGCGGCCUAUCAGCUUGUUGGUGGGGUAGUGGCCUACCAAGGCGGCGACGGGUAGCCGGCCUGAGAGGGUGACCGGCCACAUUGGGACUGAGAUACGGCCCAG
rnacentral:rRNA from 1 species